UACGGAGGAUGCAAGCGUUAUCCGGAUUUAUUGGGCGUAAAGCGUCCGCAGGUGGUUUUCCAAGUCUGCUGUUAAAGCGCGAGGCUUAACCUCGUACAGGCAGUGGAAACUGGAUGACUAUAGUAUGGUAGGGGUAGCGGGAAUUCCCAGUGUAGCGGUGAAAUGCGUAGAUAUUGGGAAGAACACCAGCGGCGAAAGCGCGCUACUGGGCCAUUACUGACACUCAUGGACGAAAGCUAGGGGAGCGAAAGGG
rnacentral:rRNA from 1 species